rnacentral:rRNA from 1 species
GGAUGAACGCUGGCGGCGUGCCUAAUACAUGCAAGUCGAGCGAACAGACGAGGAGCUUGCUCCUCUGACGUUAGCGGCGGACGGGCGAGUAACACGUGGAUAGCCUACCUAUAAGACUGGGAUAACUUCGGGAAACCGGAGCUAAUACCGGACAAUAUAUUGAACCGCAUGGUUCAAUAGUGAAAGACGGUUUUGCUGUCACUUAUAGAUGGAUCCGCGCCGCAUUAGCUAGUUGGUAAGGUAACGGCUUACCAAGGCAACGAUGCGUAGCCGACCUGAGAGGGUGAUCGGCCACACUGGAACUGAGACACGGUCCAGACUCCUACGGGAGGCAGCAGUAGGGAAUCUUCCGCAAUGGGCGAAAGCCUGACGGAGCAACGCCGCGUGAGUGAUGAAGGUCUUCGGAUCGUAAAACUCUGUUAUUAGGGAAGAACAAAUGUGUAAGUAACUAUGCACGUCUUGACGGUACCUAAUCAGAAAGCCACGGCUAACUACGUG